GUGGAUGAAUGAUAGAGUUGGAUGGUUAUGGUGGAUGAAUGGUAGAGUUGGGUGAUUAUGGUGGAUGAAUGGUAGAGUUGGAUGGUUAUGGUGGAUGAAUGGUAGAGUUGGAUGGUUAUAGUGGAUGAAUGGUAGAGUUGGGUGAUUUUGUAGAUGAAUGGUAG